UCGUGCAUACAAAGUCCAUUAAAUACUCCAAUAAAAAUAUGGUGCUUUUUCGAGAAAAAACGCGAUUUUCAAAUUCAAGACAAAGUCAUGCAGGUGCCAUCAACGACUAAAUUACCAUUUGUAUGAAAAAGUCAUUAACGACUUCCAUAUAAACGGAGCCCAAAGUCAUUGAAGACUUGAUAUGGCCGUACAAGACACUGAGGCACGGUGCACAUUAGUGCGAUACGAUAUGCGAUGCGAUAUGCUAUACGAUAUGGAUGCGACAUCGACAUGCGGAGUACGUGGUAAUUGGUAGGAAGCGAUGAAAACUGUGCACACUUUCACGACAGCGACACCGAUGCGAUAUAAUAUCGCAUGCGUAUCGCACGUGCGACACCGCUGCGAUAUACACGGUUUGUUGAACGAGGUGAAAUAAGUAUUGCGCGGUAUUUUUUGCAAUAAGCAUGGCCUUUUCACAGGAGGAAGCAUCUUCCUCAAUUUUUUUAGUCGAAUUAAUAAAAAAAAACCCUAUGCUUAUGGAGCUAUACAGAAAAAACUACUGUAGAACAGACAUGACUAGUUUGGCAUGGAGAAAUAUAGCGUCUGAUGUCAAGGACACAGAAGAGAACGUUAAGUGGAGAAAUAUCCGUACAGCGUUCAUAAGGCCAAAAAACAACCCAAAUCAGGAUCAGGAUCAGGUAGAGCAAAGAAGCCAUAUUAUCUGGCACCCCACCUCUAUUUUCUCCGUCCGUUCAUGAAAUCAGCCACAACUUCUGGAAAUAUAACGCAAGACACGGAAACUGAUGAUGACAGAGAAGAAGAAUAUGACUUCAGAAACACCAAAUAUUCGACCACUAAGUGGAUCAAGCGAAACUCCAAACAUUCAACCAUUCAGUGAAUCAAGUGAAACACCAAAUGUUCAACCGCCCAGUGGAAUCUCUCCUGAAGUUGAAUCUGAAUCGGAAAUCGUUAUUCCACCCCAGCCGAAAAGGCAAAGGAAAACUCGUCAACAGCCGCGACAGGAACAAUUGACAAAUGACGCGAACAAUGCGUUUGUAGAAUGGGUGGAAUUAAAAAACAGAGCGUCAAAAGAGGCGAGAAAAGUGAACAGCGAGACUCAGACUGGUUGUUUCUUAAGUCUCUCCUACCUGAUUUAAGAAAACUA